AUCAACUUUCGAUGGUAGGAUAGAGGCCUACCAUGGUGGUAACGGGUAACGGGGUGUUAGGGCACGACACCGGAGAGGGAGCCUGAGAAACGGCUACCACAUCCAAGGAUGGCAGCAGGCGCGCAAAUUACCCAAUCCCGACACGGGGAGGUAGUGACAAUAAAUAACAAUACGGGGUUCUUUAGGAUCUCGUAAUUGGAAUGAGUACAAUUUAAAUCUCUUAACGAGGAACAAUUGGAGGGCAAGUCUGGUGCCAGCAGCCGCGGUAAUUCCAGCUCCAAUAGCGUAUAUUAAAGUUGUUGCAGUUAAAAAGCUCGUAGUUGAAUUUCGGGAUCAGAUUGUUGGUCGUGCCUCGGUACGCACUGGCAUUAUUGGUUCCUACCUUCUGAAGAACCGCGAUGUCAUUAAUUUGGUGUCGUGGGGAAUCAGGACUGUUACUUUGAAAAAAUUAGAGUGUUUAAAGCAGGCGCACGCUUGAAUACAUUAGCAUGGAAUAAUGAAAUAGGACGUUUGAUUCUAUUUUGUUGGUUUCUAGGAUCGACGUAAUGAUUAAUAGGGAUAGUUGGGGGCAUUAGUAUUCAAUUGUCAGAGGUGAAAUUCUUGGAUUUAUUGAAGACUAACUACUGCGAAAGCAUUUGCCAAGGAUGUUUUCAUUAAUCAAGAACGAAAGUUAGGGGAUCNAAGACGAUCAGAUACCGUCGUAGUCUUAACCAUAAACUAUGCCGACUAGGGAUCGGAUGAUGUUAAUUUUUUAAUGACUCAUUCGGCGCCUUACGGGAAACCAAAGUGUUUGGGUUC
rnacentral:rRNA from 1 species